GACGAACGCUGGCGGCGUGCUUAACACAUGCAAGUCGAACGCUGAAGACCUGGCUUUUGUUGGGUUGGAUGAGUGGCGAACGGGUGAGUAACACGUGAGUAACCUGCCCUCUUCUUUGGGAUAACGCCCGGAAACGGGUGCUAAUACUGGAUAUUCACUGGCCUUCGCAUGGGGGUUGGUGGAAAGGUUUGUUCUGGUGGGGGAUGGGCUCGCGGCCUAUCAGCUUGUUGGUGGGGUGAUGGCCUACCAAGGCUUUGACGGGUAGCCGGCCUGAGAGGGUGACCGGUCACAUUGGGACUGGGAUACGGCCCAGACUCCUACGGGAGGCAGCAGUGGGGAAUAUUGCACAAUGGGCGAAAGCCUGAUGCAGCGACGCCGCGUGAGGGAUGGAGGCCUUCGGGUUGUAAACCUCUUUCGCUCAUGGUCAAGCCGCAACUGUGGGUUGUGGUGAGGGUAGUGGGUAAAGAAGCGCCGGCUAACUACGUG
rnacentral:rRNA from 1 species